AUACGGAGGAUGCGAGCGUUAUCCGGAUUUAUUGGGUUUAAAGGGUGCGCAGGCGGCCAUUUAAGUCAGCGGUUAAAUCGUGGGGCUCAACCCCAUUCUGCCGUUGAUACUGGGUGGCUUGAUUGCGGUCGAGGUUGGCGGAAUUCGUUGUGUAGCGGUGGAAUGCAUAGAUAUGACGAAGAACACCGAUUGCGUAGGCAGCUGACCAGACCGCAAAUGACGCUCAUGCACGAAAGUGCGGGGAUCGAACAGGAUUAGAUACCCUGGUAGUCCGCACAGUAAACGAUGAAUACUUGUUUUCGGCGAUAUAAUGUCGGAGGCAAAGCGAAAGCGAUAAGUAUUCCACCUGGGGAGUACGCCGGCAACGGUGAAACUCAAAUGAAUUGACGGGG
rnacentral:rRNA from 1 species